rnacentral:rRNA from 1 species
UACGUAGGGUGCGAGCGUUAUCCGGAUUUACUGGGCGUAAAGGGUGCGUAGGUGGUUUUUCAAGUCGGUGGUUAAAGGCUACGGCUCAACUGUAUUAAGCCUUCGAAACUGGAAGACUUGAGUGCAGGAGAGGAAAGUGGAAUUCCCAGUGUAGCGGUGAAAUGCGUAGAUAUUGAGAAGAACACCGGUGGCGAAGGCGACUUUCUGGACUGUAACUGACGCUGAGGCACGAAAGCGUGGGUAGCAAACAGG